rnacentral:rRNA from 1 species
CCUACGGGGGGCAGCAGUGGGGAAUAUUGCACAAUGGGCGAAAGCCUGAUGCAGCGACGCCGCGUGAGGGAUGACGGCCUUCGGGUUGUAAACCUCUUUCAGCAGGGACGAAGCGCAAGUGACGGUACCUGCAGAAGAAGCACCGGCUAACUACGUGCCAGCAGCCGCGGUAAUACGUAGGGUGCAAGCGUUGUCCGGAAUUACUGGGCGUAAAGAGUUCGUAGGCGGUUUGUCGCGUCGUUUGUGAAAACCAGCAGCUCAACUGCUGGCUUGCAGGCGAUACGGGCAGACUUGAGUACUGCAGGGGAGACUGGAAUUCCUGGUGUAGCGGUGAAAUGCGCAGAUAUCACGAGGAACACCGGUGGCGAAGGCGGGUCUCUGGGCAGUAACUGACGCUGAGGAACGAAAGCGUGGGUAGCGGACAGGAUUAGAUACCCUGGUAGUCCACGCCGCAAACGGUGGGCGCUAGGUGUGGGUUCCUUCCACGGAAUCCGGGCCGUACCUAACGCAUUAACCGCCCCGCCUGGGGAGUACGGCCCCAAGGCUAAAAUUCAAAGGAAUUGACGGGGGCCCCCCCAAGCGGCGGAACAUGUGGAAUUAAUUCCAUGGCAACGCGAAGAACCUUACCUGGGUUUGACAUUUUACCGAAA